rfam:Carnobacterium iners strain LMG26642 genome assembly, contig: Ga0073236_12
AAUAGUCUUCAGGGCAGGGUGUAAGUCCCUACCGGUGGUAAAGCCCACGAGCUGCAAAGCAGAUUCGGUUAAAUUCCGAAGCCGACAGUUAAAGUCUGGAUGAAAGAAGACAGCG